UCUGGUGAGUUGUAGAUUUUUCUUAUGCGUUGAAUCCCCCUUUACGGCGGGGCGUCCAGUCGAAAUAGUUAAUGUUCCUCGCGAAUCAUAUUGACUGUGGUAUGGUUCACCGGGAGGCACCCGGCACCGCUAUUUUAUAAAGUGAAAUUCACCGUCUAUCGUUUAGUGCGGUGGUUUUUCAC
rnacentral:sRNA from 1 species